CAUUAACCCAAGCAGUACGUUGUUAAGAGACAAGGUGGCUCAGUGUGACCAAGGCAGGAGGUGAGGCUGGCUGGUGUCUGAAGCCUAGUCCUGCUGGGGCCGGUUGAGAGCUCCUGGAGGGCAGGGCCAUGUCUUGCUCAUCAGUGCCAUCAUGUGGAGCAGGCCCUCACUUUGCGCCAGAGCCUUACCCAGGCCCACCACACCGCUUCUCCGUUACCUCUUUCUCCCAAGCCCAGCGCCACCUCAUUCCUCCUCCGAACUGGAUUUCUGUGUCUCAGACCCAGUGCCUUUGACUACUGCGCCCCCGCCAGCACCAGAGCAGACCUGCCAAUGCUGUCCUCCACCCUCCCCUCCCUGGACGCAUGGGAUAACCACACGGUGCCCACACGUGUAGGUAGCAAAAUGGAAAGGGCCUGAGGCUCAGAGUCAGCUGGUUCUGGUGUGACCCCCAGCUCUGCCUUUUGUUAACUGUGUGGCCUUACUCAGGACACGCCAUCCCUAAGCCUCAGUUUACUGACCUGAGAAAGGGAGAGGAAACUAAUGCCUCCCUAUCUCACAGAGUUACUGUGAAGGUCAAAUAAGAUCAUGCAUUAGGGGGCAAGUAAAUAAUGCCCCUCUGGAGUUGAGAACUACUGAGAAAAGAAGACAAAGAUGAAUCGUUUUGUUUUUUUAAAAUCAGAUUUAUUGGAAGAGCUGAGGUGGAGAAUUUGGACUGAAUUUAUGGCCAAGGGUGGGGGCCCUACUUGAUCCCUCAUAGGUCCCCCCUGAAUGAGGAUGUGGAAGAGGAAGGAGUCUGUGAGUGGCACUCUGGGCCUGGGGACCUGCCCCGCUAUCUCCAGCACCACUGACCAGCCCCGAGGCAGGCGUGACUGGCAUCAGUUACUGUGAUGGGACGGGGGCCCCCGAGGAUUUGGUAGCUCAACUAAGCUCAUGCAAUGAGCAAACCACAGAGCUGGGAUCCACAGCCCGCGUUUCACUGCCAGCUUGAGAGAAACCAGGGCCCAGCUAGCAAGAGACUCUCCUGCCCCUGGAGGCAGAGGCUGGGGACAACCAGCUCAACCGAGGGGGAACGCUUCCCCUUCUCAGGCUGAUCU
rnacentral:lncRNA from 1 species